rnacentral:rRNA from 1 species
AGCGAACGCUGGCGGCAGGCCUAACACAUGCAAGUCGAACGGAUCCUUCGGGAUUAGUGGCGGACGGGUGAGUAACACGUGGGAACGUGCCCUUUGGUUCGGAACAACUCGGGGAAACUUGAGCUAAUACCGGAUGUGCCCUUCGGGGGAAAGAUUUAUCGCCAUUGGAGCGGCCCGCGUCUGAUUAGCUAGUUGGUGAGGUAAAGGCUCACCAAGGCGACGAUCAGUAGCUGGUCUGAGAGGAUGAUCAGCCACAUUGGGACUGAGACACGGCCCAAACUCCUACGGGAGGCAGCAGUGGGGAAUCUUGCGCAAUGGGCGAAAGCCUGACGCAGCCAUGCCGCGUGAAUGAUGAAGGUCUUAGGAUUGUAAAAUUCUUUCACCGGGGACGAUAAUGACGGUACCCGGAGAAGAAGCCCCGGCUAACUUCGUGCCAGCAGCCGCCGCGGUAA